CCUCAUAUUGUCUUAAUUUGAAAGACGCAGCCGGAACGCGUUAUGGCAUACAUAUCUAACUAAAUAGCUUUUAGCGGUGAUUGUGGCCGAUAUUUGGCUUUAUAUCUAGACUCAAAUCAAUUUCGCUAUGUCCCCUGUAUGGGACAGAUCUUCGAUGACCCUCUCCAAGUUGAUGAAACCUGGCUACCUGAAGAUGGAAGGUGGCAUCUACCUGACCGGUCUCCUUGGAAAUGCCGUGAUAAUUGAGCGGUCUAACAGAGCGAUUGAAGACUAGUUUCAUUUUUGCGGCCUGACAUUCCACAGCACUUGUUACGAAAAAUGCGAUGAAGCUUACAAAGCCUGGGAGGAAGAAUGGAGCAUGAGGAGUAUUGAACACCAGAUAAGCCACAACAUGACGGAAGACAAAGAUAAGUGUGUACCAUGCCCUCCUGGGUCAGAAUUAGAGGAGCCUAAGAGGAGUGACUAUUUUCCUGAGGAGCCAGCCAUACUCCCUGAGUGACGCCCUAGCAGAUGUAUGUGGGAUGUCAAAUAUUGAUAAACUAAUUCGCAGGAAGCCCAAAAAAUCAAAGAAGGUCUAAGCUUUCAUGUUGUGACGGCGCUGGCCCAGGACCUCACUACUAUAUUAGAAGGGGCACGGGGUUAGGCCAUUCUUUGUUUUUGUGCAACACCUCGCCGAGCAGCUUUCGCCUUCUUUGCUUCUUCUCUUCAGCUUUGAAUUGUUGUGUAUUGCAUUCUACUUGCAUGUUAGGUCGAAUAGAAAUGGCAUCAUUACACAUACUAGGGGCAGCCUGCCCCUAACACCCCCCCUUCUGGGGGUGGGCAAAUGAACCUCUUAAAUCUCAGAGAUGAAGGCAUCUUUAAUUUCUUCGAAGG
rnacentral:sRNA from 2 species